GAGAAUCAUUAACGCCGUAAACCCAAGGUUUCCUACGCGAUGCUCGUCAUCGUAGGGUUAGUCGGGUCCUAAGCAAAGUCCGAAAGGGGUAUGCGAUGGAAAAUUGGUUAAUAUUCCAAUACCAACAUUAUUGUGCGAUGGAAGGACGCUUAGGGCUAAGCAAGCUAGCGGAUGGAAGUGCUAGUCUAAGGUAGUAGGUUGUUAUACAGGCAAAUCCGUAUAACAUUAGACCGAGAACUGAAAGGCUUUCUGAAGUCUUCGGAUGGAAGGAAGAAUUGCUGAUGCCGUCGAGCCAAGAAAAGUUUCUAAGUUUAGAUAAUGUUGCCCGUACCGUAAACCGACACAGGUGGGUGGGAUGAGUAUUCUAAGGCGCGUGGAAGAACUCUCUUUAAGGAACUCUGCAAAAUAGCACCGUAUCUUCGGUAUAAGGUGUGGUUAGCCUUGUAUUAGAAUUUGACUUCGAAAGCAAGGAAACUUACAACAAAGAGUCCCUCCCGACUGUUUACCAAAAACACAGCACUCUGCUAACACGUAAGUGGAUGUAUAGGGUGUGACGCCUGCCCGGUGCUCGAAGGUUAAUUGAUGGGGUCAGCAGCAAUGCGAAGCUCUUGAUCGAAGCCCGAGUAAACGGCGGCCGUAACUAUAACGGUCCUAAGGUAGCGAAAUUCCUUGUCGGUUAAAUACCGACCUGCAUGAAUGGCGUAACGAGAUGGGAGCUGUCUCAAAGAGGGAUCCAGUGAAAUUGUAGUGGAGGUGAAAAUUCCUCCUACCCGCGGCAAGACGGAAAGACCCCGUGGACCUUUACUACAGCUUGACACUGCUACUUGGAUAAGAAUGUGCAGGAUAGGUGGGAGGCUUUGAGUUAUAGACGCCAGUUUAUAAUGAGCCAUCGUUGAGAUACCACUCUUUCUUAUUCGGGUAGCUAACUAGCGUGAGUUAUCCUCACGUAGGACAAUGUCUGGUGGGUAGUUUGACUGGGGCGGUCGCCUCCCAAAAAAUAACGGAGGCUUACAAAGGUUGGUUCAAAACGGUUGGAAAUCGUUUGUAGAGUAUAAAGGCAUAAACCAGCUUAACUGCAAGACAAACACGUCAAGCAGAGACGAAAGUCGGUCUUAGUGAUCCGGUGGUUCUGUGUGGAAGGGCCAUCGCUCAAAGGAUAAAAGGUACCCCGGGGAUAACAGGCUGAUCUCCCCCAAGAGCUCACAUCGACGGGGAGGUUUGGCACCUCGAUGUCGGCUCAUCGCAUCCUGGGGCUGGAGCAGGUCCCAAGGGUAUGGCUGUUCGCCAUUUAAAGCGGUACGCGAGCUGGGUUCAGAACGUCGUGAGACAGUUCGGUCCCUAUCUGCCGUGGGCGUAAGAAGAUUGAAGAGAUUUGACCCUAGUACGAGAGGACCGGGUUGAACGAACCACUGGUGUAGCUGUUGUUCUGCCAAGAGCAUCGCAGCGUAGCUAAGUUCGGAUGUGAUAAGAGCUGAAAGCAUCUAAGCUCGAAGCCAACUCUAAGAUGAAUCUUCUCUUAAGGUCGCAGCAAGACUAGCUGCUUGAUAGGUUGGGUGUGUAAGUGGUGAAAGCCAUUUAGCUGACCAAUACUAAUAGACCGUCCGCUUACUUUA
rnacentral:rRNA from 1 species